UAGACGGUAGCCCACCAGGCUCCCGUCCCUGGGAUUCUCCAGGCAAGAACACUAGAGUGGGUUGCCAUUCCUUCUCCAGUGCAUGAAAGUGAAAAGUGAAAGUGAAGUCGCUCAGUCGUGCCCGAUUCGUCACGACCCCAUGGAGCAGAGCCCACCAGGCUCCUCUGUCAAUGGGAUUUCCCAGGCAAGGAUAGUAGAGUGGGUUGCC